UACAGAGGUCUCAAGCGUUGUUCGGAUUCAUUGGGCGUAAAGGGUGCGUAGGCGGCGAGGUAAGUCGGAUGUGAAAUCCCGGGGCUCAACCCCGGAACUGCAUUCGAUACUGCUUUGCUUGAGUACUGGAGAGGAGACUGGAAUUUACGGUGUAGCAGUGAAAUGCGUAGAUAUCGUAAGGAAGACCAGUGGCGAAGGCGAGUCUCUGGACAGUUCCUGACGCUGAGGCACGAAGGUCAGGGGAGCAAACGGG
rnacentral:rRNA from 1 species